GUCACAGUCUCUGAGAAUUAACCUAUUUGGAGUCCCAGAGCCCCAAGCAGCGGAAGGGUUUUCUUUCAGAGAAAUUUGUAUGUGUUCUGAGGUCGAUUUCAUCAGUCCUGACCUCCAGGUCUUUGAAAGAAACAGCUGCAUCUUGGAGUUACUAGGAAAUGAAUUCCCAGCAAGUCCUGAGUGUCAGGAGCAUCCCUGGAAUGCUGGUACUCCCACCUCAGAGCCUGGUAACAUGUUCACUCACACACUGAGAUAUCUUAGAAGAAGGUCAUCUUUUGGUGCUCUUUCCUCUUCUAGGCCAAGGCUGCAGGUGAUGAUGAGGCCAUGUUCAUAGAUGAAAACUUCUGUACUGCCCUGGAAUAUGGGCUGCCCCCCACAGCUGGCUGGGGCAUGGGCAUUGACCGAGUCGCCAUGUUUCUCACGGACUCCAACAACAUCAAGGAAGUACUUCUGUUUCCUGCCAUGAAACCCGAAGACAAGAAGGAGAAUGUAGCAACCACUGAUACGCUGGAAAGCACAACAGUUGGCACUUCUGUCUAGAAAAUAAUAAUUGCAAGUUGUAUAACUCAGGCGUCUUUGCAUUUCUGCG
rnacentral:sRNA from 1 species